GAAGAUAAGAAUAAGAUUUAUGCCUGCACAAUUGCUAAACACGAGCAAAGCAUUGCAGUUUUACGAGACGAAGCGAUGAAUGCUCAGCAACUGCUUGCAAGCGCAGAGAUAAAAGUUUCGAUGCUUCAAGAAGAAAAGCAACUACUUCAAGAUCUUGAAAAAAGCCUUACAGUUGAAAGAAAUGCAUUGGUAAGCGAGCGACGUAGCCAAGGCCUUCUUCAUGCCAACGCAAAUUUUAAUUAAAGGUGUAACAGUUUGCAUGAAUAUUUACGCCGCCCAUCACAAUCCGGAAUUUUUCCCUGAUCCGGAAUCUUUCAAACCGGAUCGAUUCCUGCCGGAGAACAGCGUCGACGACAUCUGUACGCUUUUAUUCCAUUUAGCGGUGGCGUCCGCACUUGCAUCGCGCAAAAAUACGCCAUGAUUGAGCUGAAAGUUUGUCUGGCCAACAUUUUACGGAAAUCGAAAUUUUCUCUUUCCGAUCCAUCGGCAUGAAAAAAAAAUAAAUAAGUUUGCAAUGGCGUUGCUGCAACUUCACGCGCCAUUGGCGGAGAAGACUCAUCCGAAUGCCAUAUGCUGAAUGCCAUAUCGCCCUUUCCGGAUGCUUCCGAGACGCGGACGUCUUUCGAAUUUGAUUAUUCAGCCCUGGCGUUGCCCGUUCCGCUGGAAUUCGCUGACACGGACCGUUUGCAAGAUGUGCCUAUCGACGGCUUUGAUAAAGAGACUGAAGGCUGCGAUGUUCCGACUAUACCGGUGGAGAGUUUAAAUGUUAUAAGUUAUAUGUUAUACGUCGCAUGUUAUAAGUAACGUUGAUGAAAUAAAUAAAAUAAAGUUG